rnacentral:rRNA from 1 species
AUUGAACGCUGGCGGCAGGCCUAACACAUGCAAGUCGAACGGUAACAGGAAACAGCUUGCUGUUUCGCUGACGAGUGGCGGAAGGGUGAGUAAUGGCUGGGAAACUGCCGGAUGGAGGGGGAGAAAUACUGGAAACGGUAGCUAAUACCGCAUAACGUCGCAAGACCAAAGAGGGGGACCCUCGGGCCUCUUGGCAUAGGAGGUGCCCAGAUGGGAUGAGCUUGUUGGUGGGGUAACGGCUCACCAAGGCGACGAUCCCUAGCUGGUCUGAGAGGAUGACACGCACAACUGGCCCUGAGACACGGUCCACACUCCUACGGGCGGCCGCAGUGGGGCAUAUUGCACAAUGGGCGCAAGCCUGAUGCAGCCAUGCCGCGUGUAUGAAGAAGGCCUUCGGCUUGUAAAGUACUUUCAGCGGGGAGGAAGGGACUAAAGUUAAUACCUUUGCUCAUUGACGUUACCCGCAGAACAAGCACCGGCUAACUCCGUG